rnacentral:rRNA from 1 species
CCUACGGGGGGCAGCAGUGAGGAAUAUUGGUCAAUGGGCGAGAGCCUGAACCAGCCAAGUCGCGUGAGGGAGUACUGCCCUAUGGUUUGUAAACCUCUUUUGUCGGGGAGCAAAAGCCGGACGUGUCCGGCUGUGAGAGUACCCGACGAAAAAGCAUCGGCUAACUCCGUGCUAGCAGCCGCGGUAAUACGGAGGAUGCGAGCGUUAUCCGGAUUUAUUGGGGUUAACGGGUGCGCAGGCGGAUUUUUAAGUCAGCGGUAAAAUAGUGGGGCUCAACCCCAUCCAGCCGUUGAAACUGGGGAUCUAGAGUGUGCGAGAGGUAGGCGGAAUGCGUGGUGUAGCGGUGAAAUGCAUAGAUAUCACGCAGAACCCCGAUUGCGAAGGCAGCAUACCGGUGCACAACUGACGCUCAGGCACGAAAGCGUGGGUAUCGAACAGGAUUAGAUACCCUAGUAGUC